rnacentral:rRNA from 1 species
GAUGAACGCUGGCGGCGUGCCUAAUACAUGCAAGUCGAACGCACAGCGAAAGGUGCUUGCACCUUUCAAGUGAGUGGCGAACGGGUGAGUAACACGUGGAUAACCUACCUCAAGGUUGGGGAUAACAUUUGGAAACAGAUGCUAAUACCGAAUAAAACUUAGUAUCGCAUGAUACCAGGUUAAAAGGCGCUACGGCGUCACCUAGAGAUGGAUCCGCGGUGCAUUAGUUAGUUGGUGGGUAAGGCUUACCAAGACAAUGAUGCAUAGCCGAGUUGAGAGACUGAUCGGCCACAUUGGGACUGAGACACGGCCCAAACUCCUACGGGAGGCUGCAGUAGGGAAUCUUCCACAAUGGGCGAAAGCCUGAUGGAGCAACGCCGCGUGUGUGAUGAAGGCUUUCGGGUCGUAAAGCACUGUUGAUGGGAAGAACAGCUAGAGUAGGAAUGACUUUAGUUGACGGUACCAUACCAGAAA